GGCUUGUUUCUUUUGCUCAUUGUGGAUGCACAAAAGGGCUGGAUAAGCCUGGACAGGACUGUAUGCAGUUUGUUUUUUCACAAACCCGUAACACUCUCCACCUCCUCCAAUCUUCUGUCCACGCUGCCAGUUUAUUCCUACUACAAAAACUGCUUUCCAUGGAGAGUUAUGGGGAUAGAUGACAGUUCAGCAAGAGCUCCCAAGGCAACGGACCGAUGAAAACUCCAUUUUGCGAAUUCCUUCUAGAACCGGGUGGAUGAGUUCCUUCCUGAUGGUGUAAUGUCCUCGGGCGUAAUUGUUGGCAGCGUCUUCUUUACCACUGAUCAGGGUGAAAGAGGGAGCGGUGCUUCCCAGUACGGAUCUCAUUGACAACUGAAGGUUUUAGGUCUACAAACACUGUCCUGGGGAUGUGCUUUCCUGGCCCCGUUUUGCAGGAAAAGGUCUUGAAGGAGGAAUCCCCUUGUUCUUCCAGGGCGGCGCUGGCGAUGGUCCCGUCCGACAAGAUCCUGUGUUCUAGGCAAUACAACUCCCAACAGACAUUGCCCAGUUGGACAUCAGCUUGCCCCACAUUCCUUCAUGAUGAGUUAAAUAUUAUUUUUUAAAAGAACAAGAUGAUUGAGUAACUUGUUUCUCCAGGAAGGAUGAUAAUAAUAAUACCCAGACAAUUUUAAUGAUUAAACUUGCAUCUUAUGUUUAAUCUUUAUUUUGUGUGUUUUAAUAUGCUUUUUGUGGAAAUAUGUUUUAAUAUGUGCAUUUUAAAGAAUGGUUUUAGAUGCAUGUGUGUUUUAG
rnacentral:lncRNA from 11 species